UAUUUUAAACGGAAUAUUGCUAUUUUGUUAACUUUCCUUUUCAAUGAAAUUAUAUUUUUUAUACAUAUAUUUUCGUUUUCAAAUUCAUUUUUAAACUUUAUGAAUGUUUCCUUUUUAUAUAUGUUUUGGAAAAAUUAAAAAGGAAACUAAAUGAAAAAUUAAUAAUAGUAUUUAAAUUUAAUAUUUUAAUUCAUUAAGGAUACCUUUGUAAAUAACCGUCAUAAGAAUUUACGUGAACACCACGCAUAAGAAACUGAAUUUUCAAAUAAUAUUAUAGAGAUUUGUAUUGGAAGAGUAAUUUUUGAUUAACAACUUUGACGAUUAUUUAGGCAAGUAUUUAAUAUGACAAAAAAUUUAUCCUAUAAAUUUUCAUAACAAUUAUUAUAGUUCUUAGCUACUUUCGUCAUAAACUAAUAUCAUACCACCAUAUCACAAGUUUUCAAAGUGACCACAAAAGCUAGAGCCGACUAAUAUAAGAACCAGAACCGUCUAUUCGCAAUGGAGCGAUCAAACAUUGUUUAAGAUAUUAAACAAUUCAUUUAUAUAUUUAAAUAAUAAACAUUGGCGAGUUUAGAUCCGGUUUCACCACGACUCAUGGUUGGCAUAUGACAAGAUUGCGAUCUCCAAAAUUCAAAUGGUAAAAAGGUAUUUGGUUUCUGAAGCAACAUCUAAUACCUUGGUAACAUGCGAAAUAACCAUGGAAUAAUUGUGCAGUUAUAAUAGUAACAAAAACCUAUAGAUACAUGCGUAUAUGUAGAGAUUUUCGUUACUAUUAACAUCGGUGCGGUGCAGUUCGUCACCAUUAGGAGUCUAAUCUCACAUGGAUUGUGGUUCAUAAAAGACUAUUGACAGGAGAUCAGAUCGUCAAGUGGAAUCCACAUACUGUGUCUAUUUGCUAGCUUUGUAACUCUGUCACAUAAACAAGUGAUUAUUUGUUUUUUGAGUUCUCCUACUCAGAAGAAGUAUGGCGCAGGAGUAUAGGAAAUCUUGCUGGUACAUGAUGUUCAACUCAGUGGGAUAUAUUGGUGCAACAUCUAGUGACUGGUGUACUGGAGAAAACCUUUAUAUUCCUGGUUCGAUACUGUUUUGAAGCUGUGGUGUAUGUUAUUUGGCAUGAACAAAUUGCUCGUUGAGUUGGAGAGCCUCCAAACUCCUCGUCUCGACUAUCUUGACAAAUUCAAAUUGAUUCGGAAUAGGAUAUCUUCUAUACAAAGGAAAGAAGGAAGCAAGCCAGCAUGAAAAGGUCAUGGCAAUAUGGUUUACGAAUAGAUGAUCUCUAUUUUUUAAUGCUUUUUUAAACAAAUUUCAGCUUCUGAUUUCUUGUUCAAAGAAUGGCCGCAUUGAUUGUACAAAGAUUUUUUGAAUUGAAUAAAUUUUUAAAAAAUUCAAAAAUAUAAAAAAGAACAUAUGAAAGUUUUCCUUUUCAAAAAAAAAAAAUAUAUGAAAGUUUUCAACUUUCUUUGGAUAAGUGUCGUACUUAUGAUAACUAAAAAAUGUUUGGUGCUUGUAAUGUUUCAUUUUUAGUACUGAUCACCUUGUUUAGACACGAGUUUGUGUAAAUGGGUUAGUUUUUGUAUUGUGUACUACUCAUGAGUUUCUGAUCAUCCUAAUUACAAGUAGUAAGUUGGUUGUAGUGUCUCAGAAUCUUUUGGUCACCGUACGUGUAGGCGUGUAGCAAACAUGAGAACAUGUGAUAAAGUUUUCAACUUUUUCUAGUGGAGUAUCUUGAAUCUGUUUUCAUUUAUUGUUCGUUUAUUAUCUUGUGUAGCAGUGGUGGGGGCUGGUGGAAGAAAUCAUCUGUAUUGCCCCUCGGUCUAUUUUUUAAAGCUAGGAACUCCUUGUUAUAUUAUUAAUUUUGUUUUGAUUUAUUUUUAAUUCAGAAAAUAACUAAAGUACGUAAAUGUUUUUAACUCUAAUAAUAUACCAAAACAGAUUCUUCCUUCUCUCUUCCUCCGACUUUUAUUUUUCAGAUUCUUCUUUCUCUCUUCCUCACUUUUAUUUUUCUCUCUGGAAAGCAGUGUUUCACUUUCUUUCUCCGUAACUUUCCUCUCUUCUUUCUCUAUUUCUCUGCCACAAACCACCGCGAUUCAACCUGAAAAAAAGAAAAAAAUCAAGGACAAUGCGGAAUUUGUAAAGACUUCAGAGUCUAGAGAACAAAUGUUUCAAGCAUGUGUCAAAACUGAUGGGAUCCAUACAAAAGCUGGUCUUGUUUGGAUGUGGCAAAGAGGUGGAAUUCAACCUUUUUGAUGUUGUCUAGAGUUCUUCAGUUUAGAUAUGUAUUGUGUAAUCAGGGUCGGGCAUGAAUAGAGGCUGAUCAAGCAUUAGCUUUAGGUCCGUUCAAAUUAAAAAUAAUUUAGGGGCCAAUUUCAAUAAAGAUCAGUUGGUUCUGAUGGGAAACUUGGUUGAUAGUGUGUUCAAGGUGAAGAGUUCAAACCCACAAUUCUGUAUAUUACAACACUCUUUUUUUAUAAAAUAGUUUAUAGGGCCAAAACAAUUACUUGGUUCUAACCUUAUAUAUGUCAGGCACGACCCUGUAUGUAAUCUCUCUGACGUAGAACCAAGUUACAAGUGAUUUCUUUCAGAUUUGGAAUGGUCAAGAGGAUCGCUUAUAUGUGAGUUUCUGCGUCCAUUUAAUGAAAUAACUAAUCUGAUUUCAGGCUCAUCAUAUCAUACUGCGAACUUGUAUUUCAUGCAAGUCUGGAAAAUAAAAAUCUGGUUGUCAGCUCAUGCGACUUUAGAUGAUGACACAAUAUGUAAAACGGUGGAAACCAUGAAGAUGAAAUUGGACAAGUAUUGGAAACAUCACAGUGAUUUAUUUACUAUUACUGCGGUUUUAGAUCCAAGGUUGAAGUUCACAUUCUUAUAAUAUUUUUAUAACCAUUUAGAUCAGUCAACAAGCAAGUCUAAAAUGGAUCACAUGAAUAAGAAGAUGGAAAAGCUGUUUGGAGUUUAUAAGAAAAAUUCUAAAAGCACUGCUACAAGCACUUUAGAAACCACAUUGGAGAAUCGUAUACCAGCUGGAUAUAGUGUAAAUACUUAAUCUAUAAACACUGGUUUUGGUAUUUGGUAUGUUCUUAAUCAUUGUUUUUAUGCUUAUAAUGCAUGGGUUUUAUGCAUUUUUUCGCAUAAAAUCAGAUUUAGAUGUAUACUUGGAUGAACUGGUCUUGGAUAUGUUGCUUUUCAAAGUUUAAAUGUCUUGAAAUAUUGGAAAGACAACGCAACCCGAUUUAAAGAACUGUCUCGUACGACGUAUAAUGUGAUUUGUAUUUCCAUAACAACAAUGUCUUCUGAGGCAUCAUUCAACUUAGGAACUUAUGUACUUAGCAAGUAUAGGGGCCGACUUUUUCCAUCAAAUGUACAAUCUCUCAUUUGUGUAGGAAAUUGGCUGUGUGGGUAUGAAGUGAUGAGUAAAUUUAAUGAUUUUUAUACUGAUAUGUUUGCUGUGUGUUUCUUAUUUGUGCAAGAAACUCGAUUUGGUAUAAUGAUUUGCUUGAUGGUAUGCUGCGUAGCCCAUCCAUUUGACAUCUCUAUGUAUGUUUAGUAUUCAUUAUUAAUUUAGAAAGUUGAUAUGUUAAUUUUAUUAUGUUUAUUUUUAUUAGUUAUCGUUUUAUUAUAAAUAUUGAGAGAACUAUACAUUUUCUUCACUGAUUGCUAUACAAAAAAAAAAUUACUUAUAUCUUUGUCACAACGUAAAAAUAAAAUAACUAAUUAUUUUUAGAUAAUAAAAUUGUUUUUAAUUUUGAAUAUAAUAUUUAUAAAGUUUGAGAUGCUCCUUAUAAGAGCAAGGCCCGAAACAUAGAAGAAGAAAAACUCAUAUAAAAUAUCAAUUAUUAGCAGUGUCGAUCAAAUAUUUUUGAAUGUGCAAGAAAAUUUUAACAUGUCUUUUAUGUUUUUUUUAUCUUAUAUCAUAGAUAUAUAAUAUAAUUCAUAUCAGAACUUAAUAAAGCUAUUCAAUUCCACUAAUGAUUGAUGAAGAUCAUUUUUGAAGUUAAUUUUAUAGUAAUAUUAUUCAAUGUUAUCAUAAAUAUUCGAAUAUAGUAAUAUAAUUCUACUAUAAUAAUUUUAAUGGAUGAUUUUACAUUUAAAAUCAAUUUUUAUUUAACAACAAAUUUACUCAAUAUAUUAAUUAAAUAAAAAUUACAAAAAAAUUUUUAGUUGUCUAUACAAAUAUUAUGCUUAUAAAAUUAACAAAAUAUGAUAUAAAAAUAAAUAUCAAUAAUAUUAAAACAAUUUUUUUUUAAAAGAUUUAUCUUUAGUUUACAAAGAAUAAUACAAUUUUUGCCAUCAGAUUUUGCCUAAAAAAACUUUAACUCAAUAAAAAAUUCCAAAAUAAUGACCAACCAAUUUAUUCCUUAGUCGUAAAAUCUUAAACGAUUUAUUCACCAAUUAAACAAGGGUUUUUUUUUUCAAAUAUGACUCAAAAAAAGUCAAACACAAAAC